rnacentral:rRNA from 1 species
UACGGAGGGAGCUAGCGUUGUUCGGAAUUACUGGGCGUAAAGCGCGCGUAGGCGGCUUUGUAAGUUAGAGGUGAAAGCCCGGGGCUCAACCCCGGAAUUGCCUUUAAGACUGCAUCGCUAGAAUCCGGGAGAGGUGAGUGGAAUUCCGAGUGUAGAGGUGAAAUUCGUAGAUAUUCGGAGGAACACCAGUGGCGAAGGCGGCUCACUGGUCCAUUACUGACGCUGAGGUGCGAAAGCGUGGGGAGCGAACAGG